AACGCACAUUGCGCCCUGUGGUAUUCCGCGGGGCAUGCCUGUUCGAGCGUCAUCAUAAGCAAUCAAGCUUAGCUUGGUAUUGGAGCUUGCAAUUUUGCGGUUCCCAAAUAUAAUAGCAGUCUAGAUAGACCCUAAGUGUAGUAAAACUUCUCGCUUUUGGGCUCUGUGGCGGCUUGCUUAAACCUAAUUUCUUAAAGGUUGACCUCGGAUCAGGUAGGGAUACCCGCUGAACUUAA
rnacentral:misc_RNA from 1 species